rnacentral:sRNA from 1 species
UGAAAGAGAAUUCAAGAUUAAAACACAAAACACACAAAGAAAAAUAAAAAGCUAAUGGUAUGUACAAUGGUUGAGGUGGUGUUACCUCAGUGAUCAGGUGAAGUAGAUGGAGACAUAAUCAUCCAUACUCUCUUGGGUAUAUGCAGGGGCCGAAGUUGAGGCGGGAGGGUGUUGCUCGUUCUGUCCGGUCGAGCGUGUGGAAGCUCGUCUCUGCCUUCUCCUUGGCUCUCUCAACUCGGAGAUCACUUCCUGAGGCUCAAAAGAUGAAGCUCGGGGUUGAUCGAUCCAUUCAGCUCUCCUUGUAGCUGAGCUCGUUGAACCGCUCCUUCUUACUUUGGGGGUUGGAGAUGGUGGCCUUGGCUUGCUCUGGUAGUCCUUGAGUUGAAAAGCCAUACUCUUGAGCGACUUCUUCAUUGUUCUCAUCUUCUUCUUGAAACCCUUCAUUGUCUUGCUGGGAAGGUUCCCAAGCUCUUCAAGUACACCGAGAUUCUUGUGAACUUCAGCAAACUCAUCUCCUCCUUGGUCAGUACCUUCUCCAUAAUGAGCUUGCUCUUAUUCGCUGGUCCCAUGCUCCGGCUGAUCUAUAUGUUGCUCAAACUCGAUUUGUUCCUCAUAAUC